UGGCCUUCCGUUGGAGGCCUUCUGUUAGUGCCUUCAAAGUUGGUGUCAUUCCUUUGGGAGAGUCAGCAGGUGCUGAGCCCUAUAGACCUGGAAGCAAGCAAAGACCCAAGGUGCCCAGGAACAGCAGAGGCUCCCCAUAAAAACCACGCUGACCUGUCACAUGUGGACCAAAGCCAGCCCCAAGCAGGGCGGGUGCUGGGGUUCUGCAGAGCCGUCCUGCGGCUCUGACAUCUAUGAGUUGGCGGCCACCAAAAGCGCAGCCCCAGCAGAGAGGAGAUACAGGCGCCCUGAACGCGCUAUACCCCAAUGCCAGCCCCAGGCGGGGCCGGCUCAGGGUGAGGAGAGCUGAGCUGUUCUUCAGCUUCGAUUCAGAUCUACAAGAUGGAGAUGGCUCUAGUGCCUGACCCCGCUGCUUUGGAGCACCCUGGCCACCAGAAGAUGCCCAAAGGUGGCCGAAAACUAAGUUUACAAAAUACAGAAUGGAUGCUACAGAUUUCACUGCUGUAGAGAAAACGUCUGACACUUCUAGUAGCCACAGUGGAGCUGUUUCCCAAUGCCAGCCCCAAGCGGGGCCAGCUCAGCCUGAGGUGGGCGGAGCCGUCCUGCGAUUCUGAGAUCCAGGAGGUGGAGGUGGAGUUGGGAGCAACGCCAGACACCUCUGCUUGGAGCCUGCCCAAUCUGAUGCGGGGACCCUGACCUGCAGCACAGCGGCGACCAGAAGACGCCCAAAGGUAGGGAGGCCACAGAUACCGCUUGCUCUCAGGAGCUCCUCUGGCCAUUGCUGACCCAAGCUUCCCCGCAGAGGCAGGCACAGACUGGGGCUCCUCCCUCCUGCUCCUAGUUCGCUUUACUAGGCCCAGGCCCCGAGCAAGAGGCCUGGCUCUAGGACUCACAAUAUCAUAUGUUCAACUCUAGACCAGAACUCUAUACUAAAGUAAUGUCAGAGGUUUUCUUAUCGUUUCUAAUCACGAAAAAUGUUUUUUUCAUAGAGACAGGGUCUCGCUGUGUUGCCCAGGCUGUUCUCAAACUCCUGGUCUCAAGUGAUUAACCCACCUUGGCCUCCCACGUUGCUGGGCUGACAAGCAAGAACCACCACACCUGGGCUUUGGAGGGGCUCCUGCUCUGCGUGUUUCAGCUGGUCUUCCUGCGCAGUUGUCAGUAAGAUGCUCCUGCAGCAUCGUUUCAAAUCUUUCUGCAAAAAUCCAGUGGAUCCUGUGAUUUAUUAACAUAGAAUAGUCUAUUAUUUGUAGAAGAGAAGCUAAACAAUUCAGUUAGUAACCUAUGGCCUAGAAAUUUUUAUUUAGUGAUCAACACAACUGUUUAUAGAUGCUUGUGGUCCAAAAAUGCAGAUUCCUAAUCAUCCCCAAGGAGAAGUGAUCCACUGAAAGGCAACCUGGGAGGGAGUUUAGGAUUGUUCUGAGGCCGUGAAAACCAUUGAAAUUCACACGUAAGAGGGUAGAGAAAGGGAAUUCGCAUGUUUUGAUCCUACACGUGCUGGGUGUAACUUGGUCUUUCAGUUUACUCAUCUGUAAAAGGUGGGAUUGUUAUGAGGACUGCAUAAGGUAAGUGUGUAAAAAUCUGGGAAUGAUGUCUGUAAUUUAAAGACAAAGUUGUUCUGUGACUUCAAUAAGGUAAGUAAAAAUCUACACAAUGUCUUUAAUUUUGUGAUUGUUCAAUAUAUAAAGAAGGAUUAUUUUUCUUUAAUUUUUGGACAAGUAUAUAAAAUUAGUAUUAUAAAUAUUUUUGAGAUAAUCAAAGAAUCAGUAAGUUUAAAUAAAUCACCAUAGUCAGGAAGCAAUUCACAAUAUAUUUACUGGGUAAGUGCUAGUUAAAAGUAGAAAUGGGCCAGGUACAGUGGCUCAGGCCUGUAAUCCCAGCACUUUGGGAGGCCUAGGUGGGUGGAUCACCUGAGGCCCAGAGUUCAAGACAAUCCUGACCAACAUGGGGAAACCCUGUCUCUACUAAAAACCCAAAAUUAGCUAAGUAUGGUGUUGCAUGCCUGUAAUCUCAGCUCCUCGGGAGGCUGAGGCAGGAGAAUUGUUUGAACCCAGGAGGUGGAGGUUGCACUGAGUCGAGAUUGCACCAUUGCUUUCCAGCCUGGCCAAGAAGAGUGAAAUUUCAUCUAAAAAAAAAAAAAAGUAAUGAUGAUCACAAUGAAAAUCUUGCAUUAUAUGGUGGUUUUCUCUCACCUAAGCCUCCCAGUUUGUUGAAACUAUAGAUUCACAAUUGUUCUAUCAAAUUCUUCGUUAGAAAAACAUGUUGCACUUAGUAUGUAAAUUUUGAAAAAUUUUCUCAGUCUUAUUUUCUUAAAUAUGUGUAUUUAAAAUUAAGAAUGUAAUUGUGAAUAUGUAUUAACAUAUUUCAUAUAUCGUAUCAAUUAUAUAUAUCAUAUAAAUCAAAAGAUCACAGAGUAAUCUCAGUUCGUGGCACUGUUUUUUCUGAGAGCACCUGCAAAAUUGCAUUCUGUGUAGUUUCCAGAAAACUCAGAGGCCAUGGGGUAUGAGGGUCUUUGAAAGUCAGGUUGUACUUGAGGUACGUUAGGAUACAGAAAUUUCACCAGAAUUCAUGUUUAUAAUUCACAGUAAAGAAAGUUGCUACCAGCUACCAAUAAAUGAAAGGUGGGAUGAGGUAGUUGGAGGGGCGGGGCUUUGUGAGCCAGUGCCCAGACUCCCACCUCACAAAUGACAGGCCGACGCCUAGAGGGAACUCAGGUCCUGAUUGGUUCCUCCUAAGCAGAACGCGACGUGGUUGGCAGGGCAACCGGCCUUCAUUAGGUGGCUUUCAUGUAGGGCCUUCUGUGGGUGCCUUAAGUUGGUGCCAUUUGGUUGCCUUUCCUGGGGAGAGGCCGAAGGUGCUCAGCUCUGCAGACAUGGGGACAAGCAGAGGCCCAAGCUGCCCCAGAAGAGCAGAGGGGCUCCAUGGGGACCAUGCUGCCCUGUGGCAAGUGCACCCAAGCCAGCCCCAGGCAGGGCCGGCACAGGGGUUCUGUGGAGCUGUUCUGCAACUUUGAUAUCAAUGAGCCGGCGGCCAGCAAAGGUACAGGUCGCAGCAGAGAGGAGCAGAAGCUCCUGAAACAUGCUGUCCCCCAAUGCCAGCCCCAAGCAGGGCCAGAUAGGGUGCAGUGGGCAAAGUCAUCCUGCACUGUGGGAUCCAUGAGCCACAGGUGGGAGCAGCUCCAGACACCCAUGCUUGGAGCCUGCCAAAUCUGAUUCCGGAGUCCUGACCUGCAGCACGCUGGUGACGCGACCAGAAGACGCCCAAAGGUAGGGGGGCCACAGAUACCUUUGGCUGUUGCUGACCCGAGGUACCCCCAGAGGCAUCCACAGCCCGGGGCUCUUCCCUCCUGCCCCUAUUUGGCUUUCCUAGGCCCAGGCCCUAGGCAGGAGAACUGGCUCUGCCUGGACUGCCCACCCCUUUGUAUUUCCCUGUUGCAUCCAGACGGUUUCUUUUCUCCUCGCUUCCAAAAUGCUCACUUCUAGGCCCUCUUCUUCUUCUCCUUGGCUGGUCAGAAACUAAGUUUUCAAAAUACAAAAUGGAUGCUACAGAUUUCAGUGCUGUAGAGGAAAUGUCUGAAAGCUCUUCUAUUUCAACCUAAGUAGCCAUAUGGGGACUCACAAUUUUACAUCUCAAGUUCUAUACCAAAUUUCUCUAUUCCAAAGCAAUGGCAGAGGAUUAUAGGUACUCUGCCUGAUUCGAAUAAUAAAAAAUAAUCAUUUUUUUGUAGAGACAGGGUCUCACUCUGUUGCCCAGGCUGGUCUCAAACACCUGGCCUCUAGUGAUUCACCCUCUUUGGCCUCCCACAUUGCUGGGAUGACAGGCAAGAACUACCGCACCUGGCCGCUGGAGGCGCUCUUGCUUUGUGUGCCUCUGCAGGUCUUCCUGCACAGCUGUCAGUUACAUGGUCCUACAGCAUAGUUCCAUCCUUUCUGUCCAAGUUCAGUGGAUACUGUGAUUUUUUACAUGGAAUAGGCUUUUAUUUAUUGCAAAGAAGCUAGACAAUUCAAAGUAAGUAACCUAUGGCCUAACAAAUUUCAUUUCUUGAUCAGCACAGCUUUUAAAAUGUGUUGCUUUUGGUCUAAAUAUGCAGAUUCCUAAUCAUCCCCUAAGAAACAGGGAACCACUGCAAGGCAAACUGGGAGGAUGUUUAGGAUUGUUCUGAGGCGUGAAAGCCACUGAAAUUCACACAUGAGGGUGUAGAAAAGGGAAUCCGUCUGUUUGAUCCCUCUGUGUUCUGGGUAUAACUUGGUCCUCAUUAAAUUGCACCAUUCUUGGCAUCAGAGAAAACUGGAGAUGAAUCCCAGUUCCAUUCCUCAUUAUGAGGUCAUAAUGAAUGUGUUUCUAACUCAUUUAAGAAUCAUGGCAAAGUGCUUGUAAUUCAAAAGAGAGGGUCAUUAUGAGGCUGCUAUAAGGUAAGUGUGGACGCAAUGCCUAUAAUUUUGUAAGUGUUCAACAUAUGGAGAAGAAGGAUUAUUUCUGUCUCAUUUAAUUUUUAGAGCAAGUUUAUAAAAUUGAUGAUACUCACAUUUUUGAAAUAAUCAAACCAAGGACCAGAAAGACCAAACAAAUCACCACAGUCACAAAGCAAUUCACAAUACAUUUACUGCAUAGAUUUUACUUUAAAGUACCAAUGAUAAUCACAUUGAAAAUCUUGUAUUUUGUGGUGGUGUUCUCUUACAUAAACAUUUCAGAUUGUUGAAACUAUAAAUUCUAACUUGCUCUAUCAAAGUGAUCAUUAGAAAAUGUGAUGUACUUGGUGUGUACAGUUUAGAAAAUUUCUAUGUUUAGUCUUCUGAAUUUGACUGCAUAUGUAUAUUAUUUUAAAAGCAGUAAAACAAAUAUAUGUGGAUUGAAUGUAUAUAUAUGUAUAUAUAAAAUAUGACUUGACAUUAUAGAGUAGGCAUAGCUCAUGGAAAGCCGUUUUUCUGAAAGCACCUGCAGAAAUCUGGUUUUUUUCAUUUCUAAAAAUCUCAGAGCUUAUAGGGGAAAGGGGGUUCUAGGAAUCCCAGAUAGUGCAUGAGGCAGAUUUGGUUUCAGUAAUUUUAACAUUAUUCACGGUAAGAUGAUGAUCGCUAGGAACAUCAUCACAGUGGGAAACCUGAAAUCUCCUAGCAGCCAGCAAUGAAUAAAGGUGGGGCGGGGCUGCUGGCAGGGUGGGACCAAUGGCAGGGUGGGGCUUUGGAGCCAUGUGCCUGUGCUCUCAUGUUCCAAGUUUAGGGGGAGGCGUGCAGGGGACUCUGGUUGUGAUUGUUUCCUCUUAACCAGGAUGCAGUCUGAAUGGCAGGGCAACUGGCCUUUACCUGGCGACCUUCACUGGGUGCCCUCAUUGGUUGCCUUGGCUUGGCACCCUCAGUUGGUGGCCUUGAGUUGUUGGGCAGCAGCGGAAGGAGCUCCAUCGAUGUUCUCUCCUCCCACAGUCACAGCUCUCAGGCUUGACUGGAUGUUGCAUCCAGGCCCAUUCUGAAUAAACCAGGCAGGGUGAUGGCUGUUGCAGUAGGUCAGCUCAGGGUGACCAGGUGAGGCAGGGUGGGGCUGUUAGUAGUGUGCAGCUCCAUGGCCUGGGUGCUGCCUGUGCCACCCAUGCCUAUGCGGGGAAGAGGUGACAGGUGCUAAGCUCUGCAGACAUGGGGGCCAGUGAAUGCCCAAGCUGCCUGAGAUGUGCUGAGCUGCCCCUUGUGGAUCACACUGACCACAUGCACCAAAGACAGCCCAAGGCAUGGCCAGGCAGGGAUUCUGUGGAGCCAUUCUGGGCUCUGACAUCUAUGAGUGGGUGCCCAACCAUGGCACAGUCCCAGCAGAAAGGAGCAGAGGUGUGUAGAACAACCUGUCCCCCAGUUCCAGCCUGAAAUGGGGCAAGCUCAGGGUGCAGUGGGAAGAGACGUCCUGACACUCUGAGAUCUACCACACCGAGGUGGCAGUACGCCAGACCUCGCUGCUGUGGAGCCUGCACAGUUGAAUUUCGGAGCCGGAGAGGGUCCUGACUUGCAGCACAUUGGCGACCAGAAGACAUCCAAAGGUAGGGAGGUGACAGACACUGCUUGGCCUCAGGAGCUUAUCUGGCCAUUGUUCACCCAAGGUUGCACCUGGAGGCAUCCACAGCAUGGGGCUCCUCCCUCCUUCCCCUAGUUAGCUUUCUUAGGCUCAGGCCACACAAAAAAGGACUGGGUCUGCCUUGCCUUCCCAGCUUAUCUUAGUUCCCUGCUGGGACCAUCCAGUUUUCUUCCUCCUUCCUACCCCAGUACUGAGUUCUGGGACCUCUUCUGCUUCCCCCAGGCUGGCCAGAAACUAAGUUUCUAAACUACAAAAUGAAUGCUCCAGAUUUCAUUGCUGUAGAGGAAAUGUCUAACAUUUCUUCUAUUUAAACUCAAAUACCCCUAUUGGGACUCAGAAUUUCAUAUGUUGAUUUCUAUACUAGAGCUCUGUAUUUUCAAGCAAGGUCAGAGGGUCAGAGGUAUGUCCUCUUGAUUCUAAUCAUUUAAAAAAAAUUUUUUUUGGUAGAGGCAGGGUCUCACUGUGUUCCCCAGGCUGGUCUCUAACUCCUGGUGUCAAGUGAUUCACCCACUUUGGCUUCCAACAUUGCUGGGCUGACAGGCAAGAACCAGCACACCUGGACUUUGGAGGUGCUCUUGCUUUGCAGGUUUCCACUGCUCCUCCUACCCAGCUGUCAGUGAGAUGCUCCUGAGGCAUCAUUCCAAAGUUUUCUAGACAAAUUCAGUGAAUCCUGUGAUAUUUUACAUGUAAUAAUACCUUUGCUUAUUGCAGAUAAGCUAGAAAAAUUACAGUUAGUAACCUAGGCCCUAGAAAUGUUCACAUCUAUUUUUUUUGUUUUUGAGAUAAAAUUUUGCUCUUGUUGCCCAGGCUGGAGUGCAAUGACAGCAUCUUAGGUCAUUGUAACCUCUGCCUCCUGGGUUCAAGUGUUUCUCCUGCCUUAGCCUUCUGAGUAGCUGGGAUUAGAGGCAUUCAGCACACACUCAGCUAAUUUUGUCCUUUUUAGUAGAGAUGGAGUUGCACCAUGUUGGUCAGGCUUCUCUCAAACUCCUGACCUCAGGACAUCUGCCCGCCCUGGCUUCCCAAAAUACAGACCAGAGCCACCAUCCCUGGCCAGAAGUUUCAUUUCUCAAUCAACAAACCUCUUUCUAAGGAGAUGCUUGUAGUCUAAAUAUGCAGAUUUCUAGUCAUUUCUAAAAGGUAGGGAACCACGGCAAGGCAACCUGGGAGGGAGUUUAGGUUAAUUCUGAGGUUGGGAAAGCCAUUCAGAUUCACACAUAAGAGGGUAGAGAAAGGGCUUCCACAUGUUUUGACUGCCUCCAUGUGCUCAGUGUAACUUGGUCUUGGUUAUUACGUUGCACUGCCUUUGGCAUCAGAGAGAACUGGAUUUGAAUCCCAGUUCCAUCACUCAUUAGGACGUGAUGAUGAAUGUGUUUUUGACUCCUCUGAACCUCAGUUUGCUCAUCCAUAAAAAAAUGGUAUUAUGAGCCUUCCAUAUUAUUAGAGUGUAAAAAUUGGUGUGGACAAAAUGCCUGUAAUUUAAAGGAUAGGGUUUUUAAAGGCUUCAAUAAGGUAAGUGUGUAAAAAUCUGGACACAAUGCCUGUAAUUUUGUAAGUCUUCAUUCUAUAGAGAAGGAGGAUAAUUUUUUUUUAAUUUUUAGAGCAAGUUUAUAAAAACUGGUGUUACUUAUAUUUUUGAGAUAAUCAAACCAAGGAUCUGAAAGAUUAAAUGAGUCACAAUAGUUACAGUGCGGUUCACAAUACAUUUAUUGGGUCAUUGAAAAUAGCAAUGCUGAUCACAUAUCAAAUCUUGUAUUAAGAGAAUGCUUUUCUCUUACAAAAGGCUCUUGUUUGUUGAAGCCAUCGAUUCUAAGUUGCUGUCUAAAGUGAUCAUUAGGAAACUGUGAUAAACUUAGUGUAUAAAUUUAGAAAAUGUGCUUUAUUGUUCUUGUUAAUUUGAUUGAAUAUGUAGGUAAAUUUCAAAAAUGUAUAUGGAAUAUGUAUGAAUUGAAUGCAUAUGUAUAUAUAUGAAAAAGAUAAUUAGACAUCACACAGUAGACUUAGCUCAUGGCAAUUUUUUUUCUGAAAGCAGGUAUAGAAAUCUGUCAUUUUUGUAGUUUGUAAAAAACUCAGAGGUUAUAGAGGAAAGGAGGUUCUAUAAAUUCCACCUAGUGCAAGAGCCAGAUUUGUCUUCAGGAAUUUUAGAAUAAUUCAUUGUAAGGUAAUAAUCCCUAGGAACUUCAACACAGUGAAAAACCUGAAAGCUCUUAGCAGCCAGGAAUGAAUGAAAAGUGGGAUGCGGUGGCUGGCAGGGUGAGGCCUUGUGAGCCACGUGCCUGGUCUCUCAAGUUCCAAGUUGGCAAGGACACGUGGAGGGGACUCUGGGCCUGAUUGUUUCCUCUUAACCAGGAUACAGACUGGUUGUCGGGGCAACCCGCCCUCACCUGGUGGCCUUCAGAGGGUGCCUUCAUUGGUUACCUUUGCUUAGUGCCCUCAGUUGGUGGCCUCAGUUGGUGCUCUUUCGUUGUUGGUCUUCAGUUGGUUUGGUAGCAGUGGAAGGAGAAGGAGCUCCGUCUGUGCUCUCUCCUCCUAAAGUCACAGUUCUCAGGCUUGUUGCACCUACCCACACUAUAAAUAAACCGGGCAGGUUCACGACUUUUACAGACAAGUCAACUCAAGGUAGGUGGGUGAGGUAAGAUGUGAACUGCUAGUGGGAUGCAGCCCUAUGGCCAGGGUUGCCUGUGCCAGUGUGACUUUGCUGGGAAGAGGCAGCAUGUUCUGACUUCUGCAGACAUAGAAGCGAGUGAAGGCCCAAGCUGCCUGAGAACAGAGUUGCCCCAAGGGGACCACCCUGUAGUAUCUCAUAUGCGCCAAAGGCAGCACCAGGCAGGGCCAAAGCAGGGGUUCUGUGAAGCCAUCCUGGGACUCUGACAUCUAUGAGUGAGUGGCCAGAAAAGUCAGAGACACCAGAAAAGAGGAGCAGAGGCACCCAGAACAUGCUGUCCCACAAUGCCAGACCCAGGCAGGGCCAGUUCACAGUGUGGUGAGAUAAACCAUCCUGAUACUCCAAGAUCUAGGAGGUGGAGGUGGGGGUGUCUCCUGACCCGACUGCUUUGGGGCCUGCCCAGUUGGGUUUGGGAGCUGGCCAGGGUCCUGACUUGCAGCACGUUGGCAACCAGAAGAUGACCAAAGGUAGGGAGGCAAGAAAUACUGCUUGGCUCAUCUAUAUGUUAUGUUAUGCUCAUCUAUAAAAAGUUGUAUACAGUGGGAGCUCCUCAGGCCAUUGCUGACUCAAGGUUCCCCCAAAAGACAUCCACAGCCUGGAGCUCUCCCUCCUGUCCCUCAUUACCUUUGGCAGCCCCAGGCCCCAAGCAGGAGGACUGGCUCUGCCUCGAAUCCCCACCCAUUCUUCUUUCUUCCUAUCCCAAUGCCCAUUUCAGUUUCCUCUUCACCUUGUCACAGGCUACCUCAAUACUAGUUGUCAAAAUUUAAAAUGUAAGCUACAAAUUUCUUUGGAUAGAGAAAAUGUCUGACAGCUUUUCUGGUUAAACUUAAGUAGCAAUGGUGAGACUUACAAUUUCAUAUCUUAAAUUCUACACCAUGACCCUUUAUCAUAAAGUGAUGCUAGAGGCACUAUUCUGGAUUCUCAUCUUAUAAAAUGAUUUUCUGUGGAGACAGGGUCUCACUGUGUUACCCAGGCUAGUCCCAAACUCCUGGCCUCAAGUGACCUGCCCACCUUGGUCUCCCACAUUGCUAGGGUGACAGGCAGGAGCCACCACACCUGGCCUUUGGAGGUGCUCUUGUUUUGUGUGUAUAGUCUGGUCUUCCUGCACAGCUGUCAGGAAGAUGCUCCCACAGCAUGGUUCUAAAUCUCUCUGCAAACUCAGUGGAUCCUGUGACUUUUUUACAUGGAGUAGCCCUGUGUUUUAUAGAAAAGCUAGACAAAUCAUGGUUAAUAACCUAGGGCCUAGAAAAUUUUAUUUCAUGAUCAACACAUCUUUUGGCCUAGAAAAUGUCUUUUCUUAAUCAAAGCACCUGUUUAUAAGGAGCUAAAUAUGCAGCUUAGUAAUCAUCCCCGAGAAAAAGGGAACCACUGCAAGGCAACCUGGGAGGGAGUUUAGGAUUGUUCUGAGGCCAUAAAAAACAAGGGAAUUUACACAAAAAUGGGUAGAGAAAGGGAACCCACGUGCUGUGACCCCUCCAUCUGCUGGGCACAAUUCAUCUUUGUUAUAUUGCACAACCUUUGGUGUCAGGAAGAAUGAAAUUGGAAUCCCAACUCAGUCACUCAUUAUGACAUGGUAGGAAUGUGUUUCUAACGCCAGCGAGCCUCAGUUUGCUCAUCUAUAACGGACGGGAGUGUUAUCUGACUUCCAUAAGUUAUGUGUAUAAAACUCUGGCCACAAUGCCUGUAAUUUAAAACAUGAGGUGGUUCUGGGGCUUCCAUAAGGUAAGUGUGUAAAAUCUGGGCAUAAUGACUGUAAUUUAGAACUUGGGGUUGUUAUGUGGCCUCCGUAAGGUAAGUGUGCGAAAAUCUGGACACGACGUCUAUAAAUUGGUAAGUGUUCAAUAUAUGCAGAAGGAGAAUUAUUUUUCCCUCAUCUAAUUUUUAGAGUAAGUUUAUAAAUUGUUGUUAUAUUUUGCAGUUAACCGAACUAAGAAUCAGAGAGAUUGAAUAAGUCACCAUAGUCACAAAGCAGUUCACAAUACAUACUGGGUAAUUGUUAUUUAUUACAGCAAGGAGGAUCAUGUUUAAAAUACUGUAUUAUGUGGUGGCUUCUCUUACAUAAGCCUCUUUCUUAUGGAAGAAACCAUGAAUUUUAAGUUGUUCCAUGAAAGUGAGCAAUAGAAAAUUGUGAUAAAGCUUAGUGUAUACAUUUUAGAAAAUUUCCUCUAUUAGUCUUAAUUUGCUUGAAUGUGUGUGUUAUUUUCAAAAAAUGUAAAUUGAACAUAUACCUAUUGAAUACAUUUGUGUAUAUGUAUAUGCUUAAAACUUUACAUUAGAGGGUAGCCAUAAGUCAUGGCAAUGUUUUUUUCUGAAAGCACAUGCAGAAAUCUGUCAUUUCUCUAGUUUCUAUGAAGCUUAGAGGUUAUGGGGGAAAGGGGGUUCUAUGAAUCCAAGACACUGCAUGAGGCACAUUUGAUUUCAGUAAUUGUAGCAUGAUUCGUUAUAAGGUGAUGAUCCCUAGGAACCUCAGCACAGUGAGAAACCUGAAAGCACCCAGCAGCCAGCAAUGAAUGAACGCUGGGGCAGGACCAAUGGCAGGGUGUGGCCUUGGAGCCAUGUGCCUGUGCUUUCAAGUUCCGAGUUUAGGGAGAGGCAUGCAGGGGACUCUGGGCCUGAUUGUUUCCUCUAAACCAGAAUGCAGUCUGGAUGGCAGGGCAACUGGCUUUCACCCAGUGACCUUCACUGGGUGCCCUCAUUGGUUGCCUUGGCUUGGCACCCUCAGCUGGUGGUCUUCAGUUGGUGGCCUUGAGUUGUUGGGCAGCCACAGAAGGAGCUCCAUCAAUGUUCUUUCCUCCCACAGUCACAGCUCUCAGGCUUGUUGCAUCCAGGCCCAUUCUGAUUAACCAGGCAGGGUGGUGGCUGUUGCAGAUAAGUGGGCUCAGGGUGAGCCGGUGAGGCAGGGUGGGGGCUGCUAGUUAUAUGCAGGUCCAUGGCAUGGUGCUACCUAUGCCAGAUAUGCCUAUGCUGGGAAGAGGUGGCAGGUGCUGAGCUCUGCAGACAUGGGGGCUAGUGAAGGCCCAAGCUGCCUGAGAUGUGCUGAGCUGUCCCUUGUGGAUCAUGCUGACCACACGCCCCAAAGACAGCCCAAGGAGGCUUUGCUGGUGCAGGGGUUCAUUGGAGCCAAUCUGGGCUCUGACAUCUGAGUUGGUUGCUAACAAAGAGCCAAGCCCCAGCAGAGAGGAGCAGAGGUGCCCAGAACACACUGUACCCCAAUGCCAGCCCCAAGUGGGGCAAGCUCAGGGUGCAGUGGGAAGAGACGUCCUGACACUCUGAGAUCUACCACACCGAGGUGGCAGUACGCCAGACCUCGCUGCUGUGGAGCCUGCACAGUUGAAUUUCGGAGCCGGAGAGGGUCCUGACUUGCAGCACAUUGGCGACCAGAAGACAUCCAAAGGUAGGGAGGCGACGAACACUGCUUGGCCUCAGGAGCUUCUCUGGCCAUUGGUGACCCAAGGUUACGCCUGGAGGCAUCCAUAGCAUGGGGCUCCUCCCUCCUUCCCCUAGUUAGCUUUCUUAGGCUCAGGCCACAAGCAAAAGGACUGGGUCUGCCUUGCCUUCCCAGCUUAUCUUGGUUCCCUGCUGGGUCCAUCCAGUUUCCUUCUUCCUUCCUACCCCAAUGCUGAGUUCUGGGACCUCUUAUGCUUCCCCCAUGCUGGCCAAAAACUAAGUUUCUAAACUACAAAAUGAAUGCUACAUAUUUUAUUGCUGGAGAGGAAAUGUCUAACAUUUCUUCUCUUUAAACUUAACUAGCCCUAUUGGGAGUCACAAUUGCAUAUCUUGAUUUCUGGACUACAGCUCCGUAUUUUCAAGCAAGGUCAGAGGGUCAGAGGUAUGUCCUCUUGAUUCUAAUCAUUAAAAAAUUGUUUGUAGAGGCAGGGUCUCACUGUGUUCCCCAGGCUGGUCUCAAACUCCUGGUGUCAAGUGAUCCACCCACCUUGGCUUCCCACAUUGCUGAGCAGAUAGGAAAGAACCAGCACACCUGGACUUGGGAGGUGCUCUUCCUUUGCGUGUUUCCACUGCUCCUCCUACCCAGCUAUCAGUAAGAUGCUCCUACAGCAUCAUUCCAAAUCUUUCUGGAAAAAUUUAGUGGAUCCUGUGACAUUUUACAUGUAAUGUUACCUUUGCUUAUUGCAGAUAAACUGGACAAUUUACAGUUAGUAACCUAAGUCCUAUAAAUUUUUGUAUCUUUCUUGAGAUAAAAUUUUGCUCUUAUUGCCCAGUCUGGUGUGUAGUAACAUGAUCUUAUAUUGUUGCAUCUUCUGCCUCCUGGGUUCAAGCAAUUCUCCUACCUUAGCCUUCUGAGUAGCUGAAAUUAGAGGCAUUUGCCAGACUCUCGGCUAAUUUUGUGCUUUUUAGUAGAGAUGGAGUUUUACCGUGUUGGUCAGGCUUGUCUCAUACUCCUGACCUCAGGACAUCUGCCCACCCUGGCUUCCCAAAGUACAGGUGAGAGCCACCAUCCCUGGCAAAACGUUUUAUAUCUCCAUUAGCAAUCCUGUUUCUAAGCAGAUGCUUGUAGUCUAAAUAUGCAGAAUCCUAGUCAUUUCCAAGAGAAAAGGAACCACUGCAAGGCAACCUAGGAGGGAGUUUAGGAUGGUUCUGAGGCCAUGAAAGCCAUUCAAAUUCACACAUAAGAGGGUAGAGAAAGGGAAUCCACAUGUUCCGACUGCCUCCAUGUCCUGAGUAUAACUUGGUCAUUGUUAAGUUGCAGUACCUAUGGCGUCAGGGAGAACUGGAUUUGAAUCCCAGUUCAUCACUCAUUAGCACGUGAUGCUGACUGUGUUUUUAACUCCUCUGACUUUCAUUGUAGUCAUCUAUAAAAGAUGGGAUUAUUUUGAGGCUUCCAUAAUAUAAGUGUGUAAAAAUUGGUGUGAGCAAAAUGACUGUAAUUUAAAGGAUAGGGUUGUUUUAAGGCUUCAAUAAGGCAAGUGUGUAAAAAUCUGGACACAAUGCCUAUAAUUUUGUAAGUCUUAAUUAUAUACAGAAGGAGGAUUAUUUUUCUCUCAUUUCAUUUUUAGAGCAAGUUUAUAAGACUGGUGUUGCUCAUAUUUUUGACAUAAUCAAACCAAGGAUCCAAAAGAUUCAAUGAGUCACUAUAGUCACAGAGCAGUUCACAAUACAUCUACUGGGCAACUGCCUGUGGAAAGUAGCAAUGGUGAUCACAGUUAAAAUCUUGUAUUAACAGAAUGCUUUUCUCUUACAUAAGCCUCUUUGUUUUUGAAGCCAUAGAUUCUAAGUUGAUGUAUCAAAGUGAUCAUUGGGAAACUGAUAUAUUAGUGUAUAAAUUCUAGAAAAUGUCCUCUAUUACUCUUAUUAAUUUGAUUGAAUAUGUGUGUUAUUUUUAAAAUUGUAAAUGGAAUAUAUAUGGAUUGAAUGAAUGUGUAUAUAUGUGAAAUAUAAUUAGACAUCACACAAUAGACUUAGCUCAUGGCAAUUUUUUUUUCUAAAAGCACCUGCAGAAAUCUGUCAUUUUUAUAGUUUGUAAAAAACACUGAGAUUAUGUGGGAAAGGAGGUUCUAUGAAUUCCAGCUAGUGCAAGAGCCAGAUUUGGCUUCAGGAAUUUUAGCAUAAUUCAUUGUAAGGUGAUAAUCACUAGGAAGUUCAAAACAGUGAGAAACCUGAAAGCUCUUAGCAGCCAGGAAUGAAUGAAAGGUGGGAUACAGUGGCUGGCAGGGCAGGGCUCGGCCUUCUGAGCCACAUGCCUGGUAUCUCAAGUUCCAAGUUGGCAGGGACACAUGGAGGGGACUCUGGGCCUGAUUGUUUCAUCUUAACCAGGAUGCGGUCUGGUUGGCAGGGCAACUCGCCUUCACCUGGUGGCCUUCAGAGGGUGCCUUCAUUGGUUGUCUUUGUUCAGUGCCCUCAGUUGGUGCUCUUCAUGGUCUUCAGUUGGUUUGGUAGUGGUGGAAGGAGAAGGAGCUCCAUCUGUGCUCUCUCCUCCUAAAGUCACAGUUCUCAGGCUUGUUGCACCUACCCACACUAUAAAUAAACCAGGCAGGUUCACAACUUUUACAGACAAGUCAACUCAAGGUAGGUGGGUGAGGUAAGGUGCGAGAUGCUAGUGGAAUGCAGCACUAUGGCCAGAGUUGCAGCACAUUGGCGACAAGAAGACAACAAAAGGUAGGGAGGCAACGAAUACUGCUUGGCUCAUCUGUAUGUUAUGUUAUGCUCAUCUAUAAAAGAUUGGAUACAGCAGGAACUCCUCAGGCCACUGCUAACUCAAGGUUCCCCCCAAAGACAUCCACAGCCUGGGGCUCUUCCUCCUGACCCUAGUUAGCUUUCCCAGCCCCAGGCCCCAAGCAGGAGGACUGGCUCUGCCUCGAGUCCCCCCCCAUUCUUCUUUCUUCCUAUCCCAAUGCCCAGUUCAGUUUCCUCUUCAUCUUGCCUGAAUGCUAAGUUUUCAAAAUUUAAAAUGUAAGCUACAAAUGUCAUUGCUAUAGAGAAAAUGUCUGACAGCUUUUCUAGUUAAACUUGAGUAGCAACUGUGAGACUUACAAUUUCAUAUCUUGAAUUCCAGACCAUGCCCCUAUAUCAUAAAGCAAUGUUAGAGGCACUCAUCUUGAUUCUAAUCAUAUAAAAAAAAAUUUUGUAGAGACAGAUUCUCACUGUGUUACCCAGGCUAGUCUCGAACUCCUGGCCUCAAGUGAUCCAUCCACCUUGGCCUCCCACAUUGCUACGGUGACAGGCAAGAACCACCACCCCUGGCCCUUGGAGGUGCUCUUGCUUUGUGUGUAUAGUCUGGUCUUCCUGCACAGCUGUCAGGAAUAUGCUUCUGCAGCAUAGUUCUAAAUCUUUCUGCAAAUUCAGUGGAUCCUGUGAUGUUUUUUACAUGGAAUAGCCCUGUGUUUUAUAGAAAGGCUAGACACUUCACAGUUAGUAACCUAGGGCCUAGAAAAUUUUAUUUCAUGAUCAACACAUCUCUUGGCCUAGAAAAUGUCUUUUCUUAAUCAAAGCACCUGUUUAUAAGGAGCUAAAUAUGUGGUCUAAAUAUGCAGCUUAGUGAUCAUCCCCAGGAAGAAGGGGACCACUGCAAGGCAACCUGGGAGGGAGUUUAGGAUUGUUCUGAGGCCAUAAAAAACCAUGAAACUCACAAAAAAAAAAAUGGGGGUAGAGAAAGGGAAUCCACAUGUUUUCACUCCUCCAUCUGCUGGGCACAAUUAAUCUUUGUUAUGUUGCACAACUUUGGUGUCAGAAGGAAUCGGAUUUGAAUCCCAAUUUCAUCACUCAUUAUGACAUGGUAGGAAAUGUGUUUCUAACUCCAGUGAGCCUCAGUUUGCUCAUUUAUAAAGGAUGGGAGUGUUAUAUACCUUCCAUAAGGUAUGUGUGUAAAAAUCUGGCCAUAAUGCCUGUAAUUUAAAACAUGAGGUUGUUCUGGGGCUUCCAUAAGGUAAGUGUGUAAAAUCUGGGCAUAAUAAAUGUAAUUUAAAACAUGCAGUUGUUAUGUGGCCUUUGUAAGGCAAAUACAUAAAAAUCUGGAUACGAUGUCUAUAAAUUUGUAAGUGUUCAAUAUAUGCAGAAGGAGAAUUAUUUUUCUCUCAUCUAAUUUUUAGAGCAAGUUUAUAAAAUUGUUGUUGUAUUUUGAGGUUAAUCAAACUAAGAAUCAGAGAGAUUAAAUAUGUCACCAUAGUCACAAAGCAGUUCACAAUACAUACUGGGUAAUUGUUAUUUAUUACAGCAAUGAGGAUCACAUUUAAAAUACUGUAUUAUGUGGUGGUUUUCUCUUCCAUAAGCCUGUUUCCUUGUUGAAACCAUGAAGUUUAAGUUGCUCUAUGAAAGUGAUCAAUAGAAAAUUGUGAUGAAGCUUAGUGUAUAAAUUUUAGAAAAUUUCUUCUACUAUUCUUGUUAAUUUGCUUGAAUGUGUGUGUCAUUUUCAAAAAACAGAAGUUGAACAUAUAUGUAUUGAAUACAUUUGUGCAUAUGUAUGUGUUUAAAACUUUACAUUAUAGGGUAGGCUUAAGUCAUAGCAAAGUUUUUUUUCUGAAAGCACAUGCAGAAAUCUAUCAUUUUUCUAGUUUCUAUGAAGCUCAGAGGUUAUGGGGGAAAGGGGGUUCUAUGAAUCCAAGACACUGCAUGAGGCAGAUUUGGUUUCAGUAAUUGUAGCAUCAUUCAUUAUAAGGUGAUGAUCCCUAGGAACCUCAGCACAGUGAGACACCCGAAACCUCCCAGUAGCCAGCAAUGAAUGAAAGGUGGGGUGGAGCCUAUGGCAGGGCAGGGCCUUAGAGCCAUGUGCCUGUGCUCUCAAGUUCCAAGUGUAGGGGGAGGUAUGCAGCGGACUCUGGGCCUGAUUGUUUCCUCUUAACCAGGAUGCAGUCUGGAUAGCAGGGCAACUGGCCUUCACCUGGUGGCCUUCACUGGGUACCCUCAUUGGUUGCCUUGGCUUGGCACCCUCAGCUGCUGGUCUUCAAUUGGUGGCCUUGAGUUGUUGGGCAGCAGCAGAAGGAGCUCCACCGAUGUUCUUUCCUCCCACAGUCACAGCACUCAGGCUUGUCGCAUCCAGGCCCAUUCUGAAUAAACCAGGCAGGGUGGUGGCUGUUGCAGAUUAGUCGGUUCAGGGUGAGCAGGUGAGAUGGGGGGGGGCUGCUAGUGACAUGCAGCUCCAUGGCCUGGUGCUACCUGUGCCAGCCAUGCCUAUGCUGGGAAGAGGUGGCAGGUGCUGAGGUCUGCAGACGUGGGGGCCAGUGAAAGCCCAAGCUGCUUGAGAUGCGCUGAGAUGCCCUUUGUGGAUCACACUGACCACAUGCACCAAAGACAGCCCGAGGCAUGGCCAUGCAGGGAUUCUGUGGAGCCAUUCUGGCCUCUGAUAUCUAUUAGUGGGUACCCAACAAAGGCACAGUCCCAGCAGAGAGGAGCAGAGGUGCCCAGAACAACCUGUACCCCAGUUCCAGCCCCAAAUGGGGGCAAACUCAGGGUGUCGUAGGAAGAGACGUCCUGACACUCUGAGAUCUACCACGUGGAGGUGGCAGUAUGCCAGACCUCACUGCUUUGGAGCCUGCAUGGUUGGAUUUGGGAGCCGGAGAGCAUCCUGACUUGCAGCACAUUGGCAACCAGAAGACACCCAAAGGUAGGGAGGUGACAGACACUGCUUGGCCUCAGGAGCUUCUCUGGCCAUUGCUCAACCAAGGUUGCACCUGGAGGCAUCCACAGCAUGGGGCUCCUCCCUCCUUCCCCUAGUUAGCUUUCUUAGGCUCAGGCCACACAAAAAAGGACUGGGUCUGCCUUGCUUUCCCAGCUUAUCUUGGUUCCCUGCUGGGUCCAUCCAGUUUCCUUCCUCCUUCCUACCCCAAUGCUGAGUUCUGGGACCUCUUCUGCUCCCCCACGCUAGCCAGAAACUAAGUUUCCAAACUGCAAAAUGCUACAGAUUUCGUUGCUAUAGAGGAAAUGUCUAACAUUUCUUCUAUUUAAACUUAAAUAGCCCUAUUGGGACUCACAAUUUCAUAUCUUGAUUUCUGGACUAGAGCUCUGUAUUCUAAAGCAAGAACAGAGGGUCAAAAGUACUCUUCUUGAUUCUAAUCAUUAAAAAAUUGUUGGUAGAGGCAGGGUCUCACUGUGUUCCCUAGGCUGGUCUCUAACUCCUGGUGUCAAGUGAUCCACCCGCCUUGGAUUUUCACAUUGCUGAGCAGAUAGGCAAAACCAGCACACCUGGACUUUGGAGGUGCUCUUGCUUUGCGUGUUUCCUACAGCAUCAUUUGCUCCUACAGCAUCAUUCCAAAUCUUUCUUCACAAAUUCAGUGGAUCCUGUUAUGUGUUACAAGUAAUGUUACCUUGGCUUAUUGCAAAUAAACAAGACAAUUCACAGUUAGUAACCUAGGCCAUAGAAAUUUUUAUAUCUUUUUUGAGAUAAAAUUUUGCUCUUAUUCUCCAGGCUAGAGUGUAAUGAGACAAUCUUAGGUUGUUGCAACCUCUGCCUCCUGGGUUCAAGCAAUUUUCCUACCUUAGCCUUCUGAGUAGCUGGAAUUAGAGGCAUUUGCCAGACUCUUGGCUAAUUUUGUCCUUUUUAGUAGAGAUGGAGUUUCACCAUGUUGGUCAGGCUUGUCUCAAACUCCUGGCCUCAGGACAUCUGCCCGCCCUGGCUUCCCAAAGUUCAGGUGAGAGCCACCACCCCUGGCAAAAAGUUUCACUUCUCCAUCAUUAAGCCUGUUUCUAAGGAGAUGCUUGUAGUCUAAAUAUGCAGAUUCCUAGUCAUUUCCAAGAGAAAAGGAACCACUGCAAGGCAACCUGGGAGGGAGUUUAGGAUGGUUCUGAGGCCAUGAAAGCCAUUCAAAUUCACACAUAAGAGGGUAGAGAAAGGGAAUCCACAUGUUCUGACUGCCUCCAUGUCCUGAGUAUAACUUGGUCAUUGUGAAGUUGCAGUACCUAUGGCGUCAGGGAGAACUGGAUUUGAAUCCCAGUUCAUCACUCAUUAGCACGUGAUGCUGACUGUGUUUUUAACUCCUCUGACUUUCAUUGUAGUCAUCUAUAAAAGAUGGGAUUAUUUUGAGGCUUCCAUAAUAUAAGUGUGUAAAAAUUGGUGUGAGCAAAAUGACUGUAAUUUAAAGGAUAGGGUUGUUUUAAGGCUUCAAUAAGGUAAGUGUGUAAAAAUCAGGGCACAAUGCCUAUGAUUUUGGAAGUCUUCAUUAUAUACAGAAGGAGGAUUAUUUUUCUCUCAUUUAAUUUUUGGAGCAAGUUUAUAAAGCUGGUGUUACUCAUAUUUUUGACAUGAUCAAACCAAGGAUCUGAAAGAUUCUAUGAGUCACUACAGUCACAAAGCAGUUCACAGUACAUCUACUGGGUAACUGCCUGUUGAAACUAGCAAUGGUGAUCACAUUUAAAAUCUUAUAUUAACAGAAUGCUUUUCCCUUACAUAAGCCUCUUCGUUUUUGAAGCCAUAGAUUCUAAGUUGAUGUAUCAAAGUGAUCAUUGGGAAACUGUGAUAUAUUAGUGUACAAAUUUUAGAAAAUGUCCUCUAUUACUCUUAAUUUGAUUAUGUGUUAUUUUCAAAAUUGUGAAUGGAAUAUGUAUGGAUUGAAUGUAUAUGUAUAUAUACAUAAAAUAUAAUUAGACAUCAAGGAGUAGACUUAGCUCCUGGCAAUUUUUUUUCUGAAAGCACCUGCAGAAAUCUGUCAUUUUUGUAGUUUGUAAAAAACUCAGAGGUUAUGGGGUAAAGGAGGUUCUAUGAAUUCCAGCUAGUGCAAGAGCCAGAUUUGGCUUCAGGAAUUUUAGCAUAAUUCAUUGUAAGGUGAUAAACCCUAGGAACUUCAAGACAGUGAGAAACCUGAAAGCUCUUAGCCAGGAAUGAAUGAAAGGUGGGAUGCGGUGGCUGGCAGGGUGGGGCCUUGUGAGCCACAUGCCUGGUAUCUCAAGUUCCAAGUUGGCAGGGACACAUGGAGGGGACACUGGGCCUGAUUGUGUCCUCUUAACCAGUAUAUGGCCUGGUUGGCAAAGCAACCCGCCUUCACCUGGUGGCCUUCAGAGGGUGCCUUCAUUGGCUACCUUUGUUUAGUGCCCUCAGUUGGUGCUCUUCAGUUGUUGGUCUUCAGUUGGUUUGGCAGUGGUGGAAGGAGAAGGAGCUCCAUCUGUGCUCUCUCCUCCUAAAGUCACAGUUCUCAGGCUUGUUGCACCUAGGCCCACUCUGAAUAAACCAAGCAGGUUUGCAACUUUUACAGACAAGUCAACUCAAGGUAGGUGGGUUAGGUAAGCUGCGAGCUCUAGUGAGAUGCAGCCCUAUGGCCAGGGUUGCCCAUGCCAGUAUGACUUCGCUGGGGAGAGGCAGCAUGUUCUGAGCUCUGCAGACAUAGAAGCAAGUGAAGGCCCAAGCAGCCUGGGAAGAGCAGAGUUGCCCCAAGGGGACCAUGCUUAAGUAUCUCAUGUGCACCAAAGGCAGCACCAGGCAGGGCUGAAGUAGGGGUUCUAAGAAGCCAUUUAUGGGUGAAUGGCCAGAAAAGGCAGAGACACCAGAAGAGAGGAGCAGAGGAGCCCAAAACAUGCUGCCCCACAAUGCCAGACCCAGGCAGGGCCAGCUCACAGUGUGGUGAACAGAACCAUCCUGAUGUUCCAAGAUCUAUGAGGUGGAGGUGGCCAGAGCUCCUGACCUGACUGCUUUGCGGCCUGCUGAGUUGGGUUUGGGAGCUGGCCAGGGUCCUGACUUGCAGCACAUUGGCGACAAGAAGACGACAAAAGGUAGGGAGGCAACGAAUACUGCUUGGCUCAUCUAUAUGUUAUGUUAUGAUCAUCUAAAAAAGAUUGGAUACAGCAGGAGCUCCUCAGGCCACUGCUGACUCAAGGUUCCCCCCAAAGACAUCCACAACCUGGGGCUCUCUCUCCUGCCCCUAAUUAGCUUUCCCAGCCCCAGGCCUCAAGCAGGAGGACUGGCUCUGCCUCGAAUCCCCACCCAUUCUUCUUUCUUCCUAUCCCAAUGCCCAGUUCAGUUUCCUCUUCAUCUUGCCCCAGGCUGCCUGAAAACUGGGUUUUCAAAAAACAAAAUGUAAGCUAUAGAUUUCAUUGCUGUAGAGAAAGUCUCUGACAGCUUUUCUAGUUAAACUUAAGUGUCACGGUGAGACUCAAAAUUUCGUAUAUUGAAUUCUACACCAGACCUCUUUAUGAUAAAGCAAUGUUAGAGGCACUCUUCUUGAUUCCAAUCAUAUGAUUUUUUGUAGAGACAGGGUCUCACUUUGUUGCCCAGACUAGUCUCCAACUCCUGGCCUCAAGUGAUCCAUCCACCUUGGCCUCUCACAUUGCUAGGGUGACAGGCAGGAGCCACCACACCUGGCCUUUGGAGGUGCUCUUGCUUUCUGUGUUUCGGCUGGUCUUCCUGCACAGCUGUCAGGAAGAUGCUCCUGCAGCAUAGUUCUAAAUCUUUCUGCACAAAUUCUAUGGAUCCUGUGAUUUUUUUACGUGGAAUAGCAAUGUAUAUUUUAGAAAAGCUAGACAAUUCACAGUAACCUGGGGCCUAGAAAAUUUUAUUUCAUGAUCAACACAUCUCUUGGUCUAGAAAUUGUCUUUCUUAAUCAAAGCACCUGUUUAUAAGGAGCUAAAUAUGUGGUCUAAAUAUGCAGCUUAGUAAUCAUCCCCAAGAAAAAGGGAACCACUGCAAGGCAACCUGGGAGGGAGUUUAGGAUUGUUCUGAGGCCAUAAAAACCAAUGAAAUUCACACAUGAAAGGGUGGAGAAAGGGAACCCACGUGUUGUGACUCCCUCAAUAUGCUGGGUACAACUCAGUCUCUGUUACGUUGCAUCACCUUUGCUGUCAGACAGAAUGGAAUUUGCAUCUGGUUUCCGUCACUCAUUAUGAUGUGGUGGGGAAUGUGUUUUUAUCUUGGUUGAGCCUCAGUCUGCUCAUUAAUAAAAGAUGGGAGUGUUAUGUGACUUCCAUAAGGUAUGUGUGUAAAAAUCUGGCCAUAAUGACUGUAAUUUAAAACAUGAAGCUGUUACAUGGCCUUCAUAAGGUAAAUGUUUAAAAAUCGAGGCAUAAUGCCUAUAAUUUUAAAGCUGAGGUUGCUAUGUGACCUCCAUAAGGUAAGUGUGUAAAAAUCUGGGCAUAUUGUCUGUAAUUUAAAACAUGGGGUUGUUAUGUGACCUCCAUAAGGUAAGUGUGUAAAAAUCUGACCAUAAUGACUGUAAUUUAAAAUACGAAGUUGUGGCUUCCAUAAGGUAAGUGUGUAAAAAUCUGGGCAUAUUGUCUGUAACUUAAAACAUGGGGUUGAUAUGUGACCUCCCUAAGGUAAGUGUGUAAAAAUCUGAACAUAUUGUCUGUAAUUUAAAACAUGGGGUUGUUAUGUGGCUUCCUUAAGGUAAGUGUGUAAAAAUCUGACCAUAAUGACUGUAAUUUAAAAUACGAAGCUGUGGCUUCCAUAAGGUAAGUGUGUAAAAAUCUGGGCAUCUUGUCUGUGAUUUAAAACAUGGGGUUGUUAUGUGGCUUCCUUAAGGUAAGUGUGUAAAAAUCUGACCAUAAUGACUGUAAUUUAAAAUACGAAGCUGUGGCCUCCAUAAGGUAAGUGUGUAAAAAUCUGGGCAUAUUGUCUGUGAUUUAAAACAUGGGGUUGUUAUUGGCUUCCUUAAGGUAAGUGUGUAAAAAUCUGACCAUAAUGACUGUAAUUUAAAAUACGAAGCUGUUACGUGCUUCCAUAAGGUAAGUGUGUAAAAAUCUGGGCAUCUUGUCUGUAAUUUAAAACAUGGGGUUGUUAUGUGGCUUCCUUAAGGUAAGUGUGUAAAAAUCUGACCAUAAUGACUGUAAUUUAAAAUACAAAGCUGUGGCCUCCAUAAGGUAAGUGUGUAAAAAUCUGGGCAUAUUGUCUGUGAUUUAAAACAUGGGGUUGUUAUUGGCUUCCUUAAGGUAAGUGUGUAAAAAUCUGACCAUAAUGACUGUAAUUUAAAAUACGAAGCUGUUACGUGCUUCCAUAAGGUAAGUGUGUAAAAAUCUGGGCAUCUUGUCUGUGAUUUAAAACAUGGGGUUGUUAUGUGGCUUCCUUAAGGUAAGUGUGUAAAAAUCUGACCAUAAUGACUGUAAUUUAAAAUACGAAGCUGUGGCCUCCAUAAGGUAAGUGUGUAAAAAUCUGGGCAUAUUGUCUGUGAUUUAAAACAUGGGGUUGUUAUUGGCUUCCUUAAGGUAAGUGUGUAAAAAUCUGACCAUAAUGACUGUAAUUUAAAAUACGAAGCUGUUACGUGCUUCCAUAAGGUAAGUGUGUAAAAAUCUGGGCAUCUUGUCUGUGAUUUAAAACAUGGGGUUGUUAUGUGGCUUCCUUAAGGUAAGUGUGUAAAAAUCUGACCAUAAUGACUGUAAUUUAAAAUACGAAGCUGUGGCCUCCAUAAGGUAAGUGUGUAAAAAUCUGGGCAUAUUGUCUGUGAUUUAAAACAUGGGGUUGUUAUUGGCUUCCUUAAGGUAAGUGUGUAAAAAUCUGACCAUAAUGAUUCUAAUUUAAAAUAUGAAGCUGUUAUGUGGCUUCCAUAAGGUAAGUGUGUAAAAAUCUGGGCAUAUUGUCUGUAAUUUAAAACAUGGGGUUGUUAUUGGCUUCCUUAAGGUAAGUGUGUAAAAAUCUGACCAUAAUGAUUCUAAUUUAAAAUAUGAAGCUGUUAUGUGGCUUCCAUAAGGUAAGUGUGUAAAAAUCUGGGCAUAUUGUCUGUGAUUUAAAACAUGGGGUUGUUAUUGGCUUCCUUAAGGUAAGUGUGUAAAAAUCUGACCAUAAUGACUGUAAUUUAAAAUAUGAAGCUGUUACGUGCUUCCAUAAGGUAAGUGUGUAAAAAUCUGGGCAUCUUGUCUGUGAUUUAAAACAUGGGGUUGUUAUGUGGCUUCCUUAAGGUAAGUGUGUAAAAAUCUGACCAUAAUGACUGUAAUUUAAAAUACGAAGCUGUGACUGCCAUAAGGUAAGUGUGUAAAAAUCUGGACAUACUGUCUGUAAUUUAAAACAUGGGGUUUUUAUGUGGCUUCUUUAAUGUAAGUGUGUAAAAAUAUGGCCAUAAUAACUGUAAUUUAAAAUACAAAGAUUUUACAUGGCUUCCAUAAGGUAAGUGUGUAAAAAUCUGGCCAUAAUAAGUGUAAUACGAAGAUUUUACAUGGCUUCCAUAAGGUAAGUGUGUAAAAAUCUGGGCAUAAUGCAUUUAAUUUAAAAGAUGAGGUUGUUAUGUAGCUUCCAUAAGGUAAAUGUGUAAAAAUCUAAACACGAUGCCUGUAAGUUUGUAAGUGUUCAAUAUAUAGAGAAGGAGGAUUCUUUUUCUCUAAUUUUUAGAGCAAGUUUAUAAAAUUGGUAUUAUAUUUUGUAGAUAAUCAAACCAAGAGUCAGAGAGAAUAAGUAAGUCAGCAUAGUCACAAAGCAGUUCACAAUACAUGCUGGGUAAUUUUUAUUUAUUAGUAGCAAUGAGGAUCACAUUUAAAAUACUGUAUUACUGGGUGGUUUUCUCUUCCAUAAGCCUCUUUCUUUGUUGAAACCAUAAAGUUGCUCUAUGAAAGUGAACAUUAGAAAACUGUGAUGAACUUACUGUAUAAAUUUUAGGAAAUUUUCUCUAUUAGUCUUGUUAAUUAGGUUGAAUAUGUGUGUUAUUUUCAAAAAAGGUAAAUUGAAUAUAUAUGUAUUGAAUAUAUACAACAUUUUACAUUGUAGGGUAGCCUUAAGUCAUGGCAAUGUGUUUUUCUGAAAGCACAUGCAGAACUCUGUCAUUUUUCUAGUUUCUAUAAAGCUCGAGGUAAUGGGGGAAAGGAGGUUCUACGAAUCCCAGCUAGUGCAUGAGGCGGAUUUGGUUUCGGUAAUUUUAACAUCAUUCAUUGUAAGGUGAUGAUCUUUAGGUAUGUCAGCACAGUGAGAAAUCUGAAAGCUCCCAGCAGCCAGAAAUGAGUGAAAGGUGGGGCGGGGCCUAGUGAGCCUUGUACCUACUCCCUCAAGUUCCAAGUCUGGGGGGAAGUGUGGAGGUGCCCUGGGCCUGAUUGUUUCCUCUUAAGCAGGAUGUGGUCUGGUUGGCAGGUCAACCGGCCUUCACCUGGUGGCCUUCACCUGGUGGCCUUCAGUGGUUGCCUUUGUUUUGUGCCCUCAGUUGGGGGUCUUCAGUGGGGGACCUUUAGUUCAUGGGUGGUGGCGGAGGUUGAGGAGCUCCUCUGUGCUCUCUCCUCCCGCAGUCAUAGCUGUCAGGUUUGGUGCAUUCAGGCCCAUUCUAAAUCAACCAGGCAGGUUCUGACUGCUGCAGGAAGUCAGUUCAGGGUGGGCAGGUGAGGCAUGGUGCAGGCUGUAAGUAGGGUACAGCCCCAUGGUCCAGGGCUGUCCAUGCCAGCCAUGCCUUGCCAGGAGCAGUCAGUAGGUGUGGAGCUCUGCAGACAUAUGGGCAGGCAGCGGCCCAAACACCCAAGAAAAUCAGAGUUGCCCCAUGGGGACGACACUGAGCUGUUGCAUGUGCACCAAAGUCAACCCCAGGCAGAGCCCCCACAGGGGUUCUGUGGAGCCAUCCUGGAGCUCAGACAUCUGAGUGGAAAGCCAGCAAAGGCACAGACCCCAGCAGAAAGGAGCAGAAGUGCCUGGAACAUGCUGUACCCCAAUGCCAGCCCCAAGCGGGACCAGCUCAGGGUGACGUGAAGGGAGAAGACCUGCAGCUCUGAGAUCUACGAGGUGGAAGUGACAGUAGCACCAGACCCCACUGCUUUGGAGCCUGCCCAGUCGGAUUUGGGAGCCAGUGAGGGUCGUGACUUGCAGCACAUUGUCGACCAGAAGACAACCAAAGGGAGAGGAGCUGAAGACCUUCUGGCCUGGGCUGGGCGGCAGUUCAGUUGCAGGAUAAACAGCCUGAGUCCUCUGCGGGAUGCUUUGUAAAGAACCCAAGAAAUCAACGUAGAGCUUCUUCUAGAUGAUUCUCUCGAAGCUGUAAACCUUCCAUGAGUCAAGCUUUGUGUCAAAAGGACAAAUUAAAAG